rnacentral:rRNA from 1 species
UAACCUGCCCAAGAGAUCGGGAUAACACCUGGAAACAGAUGCUAAUACCGGAUAACAACAGAUGAUGCCUAUCAACUGUUUAAAAGAUGGUUCUGCUAUCACUCUUGGAUGGACCUGCGGUGCAUUAGCUAGUUGGUAGGGUAACGGCCUACCAAGGCGAUGAUGCAUAGCCGAGUCGAGAGACUGAUCGGCCACAUUGGGACUGAGACACGGCCCAAACUCCUACGGGAGGCAGCAGCC